rnacentral:tRNA from 1 species
UUCCUGGUGGUCCAGUAGCUAGGAUUUGGCUCUUUCAUUGCCAAGGACCUGGGUUCAAUCCCUGGUCAGGGAA